rnacentral:rRNA from 1 species
CGAAGGGGGCUAGCAUUGCUCGGAAUUACUGGGCGUAAAGCGCACGUAGGCGGCCAUGAUAGUCAGGUGUGAAAGGCCUGGGCUUAACCCGGGAACUGCAUUUGAUACUGCAUGGCUAGAGUCCAAGAGAGGGUAGUGGAAUUCCCAGUGUAGAGGUGAAAUUCGUAGAUAUUGGGAAGAACACCAGUGGCGAAGGCGGCUACCUGGCUUGGAACUGACGCUCAGGUGCGAAAGCGUGGGGAGCGAACAGGAUUAGAUACCCUGGUAGUCCACGCCGUAAACGAUGAGUGCUAGAUGUCAGGCAGCUUGCUGCUUGGUGUCGUAGCUAACGCGUUAAGCACUCCGCCUGGGGAGUACGGCCGCAAGGUUA